AAAUAGAACUUUGCAGAGAGAGUUAAGAGGGCGUGAAACCGUUAAUUGGCAAACGAAUCGGAGCCACGAAGUCGUUUCGUUAUUGAGUCUUGGGUCGAGUUCAGCUCAAGUUGCUUCAUUGCAGUUUGGGUGUAUUCUCGUACCUGGCCAAAAUUGUAAGCGUACACUGCAACCAGUUAGACGAUUGGUGAUGGGCACAGUUGUGGGUUAGUAGUAGCGCCGUUGGCUUUCGGGCCUCCUGGUGUUGCUGGACUCGCUGGCAAGUGAACUAUGAACCAAAUACUGACUGGCAAAAUGAAAAUCGCCCCUCAGCGGGCGUUGCAUAGAAGGCAACCUGUUGCAUUUGGGUCUACACUCAGCGACCGUUUGGUCUUUAAGCUUGGUAUUUUUGAAUUUAGACUUGCUUGCUACCAUUGGGGCAACUCGUGGUGCUUGUAUAGCUCUAUCUAAUCGGGUGCCGACUUGGCCAGGCGUUGUUUGUUGGUGCUACGAUUGGGCCUGAAUGCGAGCGGGCUCGCAAUUUGAAUUGGCAGUGAGUAGGUCGGCUUUCCGAACGACCCGUCUUGAAACACGGACCAAGGAGUCUAAUUAGGCAUCGAGUCGAUCGGUCUUGAAUAGGCCAGAACGGAGUAGUUCUACUGUUUGAAGGCGCAGAGACAUGUGAUCGUUGUGGUUAUACUAAGCCUGAACGCGCAACAUGUGCCUGUUCUCAAGGAAAUGUAGCAAUAAUUUCCGAGCGGAGCAAAGAGAUGCCUGAUUGGUACCCGAAAGAUGGUGAUGCCUGGGCAAAUUGAAGCCAGAGGAAACUCUGGUGGAGGAUUGCGAUUCUGACGUGCAAAUCGAUCGUCAGACCUGGGUAUAGGGGCGAAAGACUAAUCGAACCAUC
rnacentral:rRNA from 1 species